rnacentral:rRNA from 1 species
GAUGAACGCUGGCGGCGUGCCUAACACAUGCAAGUCGAACGGUGAAGCAGGAGCUUGCUCUUGUGGAUCAGUGGCGAACGGGUGAGUAACACGUGAGCAACCUGCCCCUGACUCUGGGACAAGCGCUGGAAACGGCGUCUAAUACUGGAUAUGUGAUGUGACCGCAUGGUCUGCAUCUGGAAAGAAUUUCGGUUGGGGAUGGGCUCGCGGCCUAUCAGCUUGUUGGUGAGGUAAUGGCUCACCAAGGCGUGGACGGGUAGCCGGCCUGAGAGGGUGACCGGCCACACUGGGACUGAGACACGGCCCAGACUCCUACGGGAGGCAGCAGUGGGGAAUAUUGCACAAUGGGCGGAAGCCUGAUGCAGCAACGCCGCGUGAGGGAUGACGGCCUUCGGGUUGUAAACCUCUUUUAGCAGGGAAGAAGCGAAAGUGACGGUACCUGCAGAAAAAGCACCGGCUAACUACGUGCCAGCCGCCGCCGUAA